CUUGGGCUGCUUCCAAAUUUUGGCUGUUGUAAAUAAUGCUGCAGUGGAUUAAAUUCAAGUUGCAGGUGAUGGUCCUUCCUGGAUCUAACCUUUGUUCCAUCUUUGCAAAAAUAGUUUUCACCUGUUAAAAGUAGACGUCUCAGCUUUCAACAUAACGUGGCACACACAGCUCUAAGCAUUUACCUUAAACUGGAACAUCAACUUAAAGCACGCAGAAGGGCGCUCAGCUCCACAUACCAGGAAAGAAAUAGAACGGGUUGCAAAAUUCAGAAAAGAAGAGACCCUCGGAGAGCAAGGCUGAAUCCAGGCCCCUCCUCUACAUUGUUUCGCCCCACGCUCUCGGGUCUGGCCCAGCUCAGCCCUGAUUUUCGCCUCCUCGUGGCUGGAAUGGUGGGCCCAGGACACACCCCUGAUCCCGCCUUUCAGACAGCGCGCACCCGCAGAUUCUUACAGACCCGGAAGUGGCUGUGGAGUAUGGAAGGGUACACUGGCCUUACUGGUUUCAGUAUUGCUGGUGUAAACAUGAGCGUCUCAGUCCACAUUUCUCCACGCAUAAAGCCUGAGAAUCACUACAGGCAUUGAAGUCCCCGAACGUGACUUCCUAUAGCGCUCUCCGCCCCUGGAGCCGGGACUGCACCCCGCCCUGGGGAUCUGCAGACCCUCUCCACCUGCCGCACAUUUAAUAAGAGACCCCAGUCUUAGGAAGAGCACACUUUCGAUGGGGUGGGACUUAAGACGGGAGAACGCUGUAUCCCCAGGAGUGACCUGCCCCACCGGGGAGGAGCUUUGAGGAAGCGGUGAAGGCGAAGAGGCGGCCAGGAAAGCGGCGGAACCAACCCGUGAGGGGAUCUGAAGACGGAAUAAGAGAGACGGACACUUGAGGGAGAGAAGAUGUCGAUGCGGGGCCCUCAGAGACUGCAACGUAGGGGAGCAGGGGAUAUGGGAAGAACGGGGCAGCCACGUAGGAAUGAAAAGGUAACUGGGGAAAGUAGCUGGAGGAGGAAGACAGGGGCGGAAUGCUGAGGAGACUGAGGAGCCCCAGAGAGACGAGAGGAGCUGACAGGGAGAGGGGCCUGUGAACAAAUGUGAGGCAGCAAAGGGCGAGGCGCUUCAGACGGACGUAGUGGUUCUAAGGAGAAGAGGUGGGGGAGCGAGAGCAGGGACAGAAAGGGGGUUCGGGGGUGACGGAUCAGAGGGAGAAACAGCACUGAGUCAGCCCGCUGGGGGGGGUGACAGGAAAAACUGUAGUAACAGGGGCCGCAGAGGGGACACAGGCAUGGAGCGUGUGGAAACAGACGCAAAGUGUAUGGAGGUGGGAGCAAUCAGAAAGAUCAGGGAGAAAGCGCAACUGAAGAUGAAAUAGGUUUCAUGAGAUUUUCGAAGCAGGUGUAGGGACAGGAACAGAGGAAAGGGGAGUAAAAGCAGGGGAGGUGGAAGGGGAAACACAGGAAAGGACAGCAGUUCAGAGAAACAGGGAAGAGACAAACAUCCAUACACAGAAAUGUAAGUAGCAGGAAAAGUGGAACCGGAUGUGGAAAAAUGGUGAGCUGAUGAGGUAUGGAUGAUUAAUUUGUGAGAUACCGGCUUUUGCUGAAUUGUUCCUGUUAAACAGUCGAAUUGGAAUUGCAGAACUUUUGUAUAUAAGGUUUGUUCGUUUUGUAAUUAUUUGCAUCACCAAAUAGCUUCCAUUUACAACCCUCAUUCAUUCGAGGGGAAACACGUGUCUGUCAGUAGUGGGUCCCUUCUCAUUUCCUGGGAUGGCAAGAGGCAGGUGACCUGGGACAAGGAGUGACUGAGUCUCACCCCAUGAUUCUUUCAAGAAAUAAUGAAAACAUUGGGUCUUUUUUCUCUCCAACAAAUUCACAUUUUUAUGUCUCUCACAUUUAGUUUAUCUUAUAAAAACAUAUUAAAAUAGAUUUUAAUUUAUUAAAUCUUUUUUGUAAAUCAUUGACUCCUGAAACAAGCUUUGUGACAUCUCAUAUAAUCAGCUCUUACUGUUCUUUCUUAAAUAUGAGGUAGUCUCAACUUUUGCAAAACUUUACCUUUAGAAGUCAUCACAUUAAAAAAAAAAAUCAUUUUCCAUGUUAAAUAUGUUGUGUCUAAUUUAGAUUCUGAGCCCUGUACCCUUUCUACUGUUUAUCAUAUGAUGCAACAUCCAUUGGUACUUAGUGAAUAAUAUCAGGCUAUUGCACUGUGUAUGUUGUAAGGAUGUCAAUGAUCUUAAUAGUCAGAACCUAGUUUCAGAGUUUGUCUAAUGUUUUGUAGCCUUUUCCUUCCCUUUAUGUGAUUUGUUGAAUUAGUGACUGGGAGCCACAAAGGAGCUGUCCCUUCUUAUUCAUUUUCUAUAAAUGUUGAAGAAUAGACUGGUGCCACCUGGAACUUGGUUCCCACAGAGCUCAUCUAUUCAUGGUGAAGUGAUCUGAUCAGCAUAUCUCCAUAGUUAACCUUUUUUCAGAUCAUUCAGUAUCAAAAUCCAUGUUUAUCAUUUUAUAUUUUUUAAAUAAAAUGUUAUGAUUUCCUGGAGAAGAGGAAGGAAAUGCUUGUGCCUCUUUAUAUAACCUGGCAACAAACAACUCUGUGAUGGGAGCACUGUUAUCAGCAACUUUUGUACAGAUAAGGAAACUGAGACACAAAAGUGAAAGGCACAGAUAUUGGAACCUCCUAGAGUCAGACCUUUGUUUUGUGAUUAUGAGCUGUGUGACUUUUUGGCAAAUUAUUUACCUCUCUGUGCCUUGAUUUCAGCCCCUGUGAAAAGGGGAUAAUAAUGGCACCUGCUUCUCAAGUAAGUGAAUUUGUGGAAAGCAAAGCCUGGGCACAAGGCCCGUGUUACUGAGACGAUUACUGCAAAAUCUUUCUGUUUAAUCCCUCUGUGCCUGCCCAGAAUCCAGUGAAGCCUCCCUUCUUCCUCCCUUGCCUACCUACUCUCCUAUUUCCAAACCCAGUCCCAGGUUCUUUCCUCUGUUACACCUGCCCCAUUUCUUGCUGCUGCUCUGGUCAGGCAGUCUCAACUCCCUUGCCUGACGGAAUUUUGAAAACCCCACCCAACCAGCCCCAGGAUAGUAGAAGGUACUGGAACACCCUGUGCUUUCUCACACCUGGAGGGAUUGCACAGGCCCUGUCCUACCCGGCUCCAGGAGACCACUGUCUCCAGGCUUGUGGACUCCUGCAUCCAAUUAUCUGUGUGGGGGCCCCUCACUCCCACAGGUCCCCACUGAGUUCUCUCUUUCCCUAAUCUCCCUCCUCCUCCAGAUUCCCCACUGUUCACCCAGGCAGUGGGCCACAAACAAGGCCCUUUUUACCACCCGUGUCAGUCUCUAGCCCUGUCCCUUCUGAUCCCUGAUCCUGACCCUGACUCUCUCCUCUGCUCCAUCUCUAUAGUCUCAGCCUGGUUGAGCCUUGUCCUCUCUCCCUGAACCCUCACCCAGCUUCUUAGGCCUCCAGUCUCUUCCAGUCUGAUCCUUUUACCCCCAGAAGGGUCUUCCUACAUCCAGAGUUGACCCUCCCCCUCCUCUGCUCAAACCCUUCAUGGCUUCCCGUGCCACCCAUCCCCCCAGCAAAGUCUAGGUUUAGCCACAGUUGGGUGAUUGGAGCCUCUGGCCACCCUCCUCAGCCUUUCCCGGUACCUCUGCCCAGCACCUGCUCGUUCACCCACUCCCUAGGUUAGGGCAUCCUCUCAUCUUUUUUUCCCCAAUGCAGUCACCAGCUAGCAGCAGCGUGAGCAGCCAGUGAGCCAGAGCAGCUGUCAGGGCUGUGGUCCCCAAGGCCCCAGGACCCUUUGAGGACAGCAGGAGGGAGGAAUCUGAGGGCAGAGAGGAGGCUGGAUGUCUGAGGACAGGGGCCUGGCCAGAUAAGGAAAGAAAUGCUUCCUGGUGCUGGCUGUGUGAUCUUGGGUGGGCUGCUGGCCCUCUGUGCCACAGUCUUCUCUUAUGUAAUGGGGACAGUCAUUAUGCCUACCUCCUAAGGUUGUCACAAAAAUUACAUGAGUGAAAGAGCUUGGAACAGUGUCAGGCACAGAGGAAGGUUGCAUUUUAUUUUAUAAUUAGACAAAUGUCUCUUGUGCUUGUCUAUCAAUUUGUUUAUUUCUCUUCUUUAUGUGAGCUCAGUGUGGGUGACAGGACUCUCGUCUGUCUAAUUAACUGAACCUACUAUUUAGUACUCAUUAAAUAAUAUAAUUUAGUUUAAAUCAAAUAUUUGAAUAAAUGAACAAAUGGAAGAUAAAACAAUAACAACAUAAAUUGCACCAUGAAGAUCCAUGUUAGCCAUAAGGGUUUAUCAUAGUGAAUGUGCAGUGUUCCAGUAACUUGGUUUUUCAGUUUUUUCAUAAUAAUUAUGUUGGAUGCUAUCAAAUUUUGGGACUUAUCUAUGUUAAUCUAAUCACAUUUCCUCCCUGUAAAUUAA